ACUUCUAAAGGAAAGUAGUAAUCCAUUGGUCUUAGGCACC
rnacentral:tRNA from 1 species